CCAAGAGCAAAGGGAGAGAGCAGAAGAGAUGGAAUAUCCCAUUCUACACAUUAUUUUCCUAUUAAAGGCAAAGCCCUGUGAACAGAAGAUGCUGCUUCUCUCACUAUCCCUUCUCCUGAUAAGGAAAUCAGAAAAGGACAGCAGAAGGAGUUUAUGACAAAUACAAUUGCUGGAUUCAAUCACACCUUUGGUUCAUACCUCCAUUGUGUGAACAACAAUGAUGUCAGUGCAUUGGGGCUUCGUAAAGACAAUGUCUGUGACAUCCAGACUUGCCAGUACUUGUUUGGUAUUAUGGACUAACAUGCACUCAGCUGGUCCCAUCCCAACCACCACUAAACCCUCACUAGGGACCAGUGCAGGUCUACAGAAG